GGGCUGUGCUGAUCCCGCCAGCCGGGCCCGGCGGGGCAAUCCACAUAGCCUGCGCAGGGGGCGCGGGCCGAGGCUCCCUGGGCGGUCCGUCGGUGCGUCGGUCCGCGCUAGGCACUGGAGACUGUCCCAGAGCGCGGGAGCCGCGGAGCCAGAGGAGGGGAGAACAAGCGCAACAAGGGGCGCCGCUGCGCGCCAGCGAUCGCGGCAAGUGUUUGAGGCGCGGGGACUGCGGGGCGCUGCUGCCUCCCGCCCCCGCCCCUCCCUCUCCGCCCUUCCCCCGCCCGCCUCCCGGAGCGCCCGCCCCGCGCCCAAGCGCCCGCGGGUCGAGGAUGUCUGCCCCGAGCGCGCUCCCGCGGCGCUCCUCCGAGCUCGCGGCGGUGGGAGGCGGGGGCGUGGAGCGGAGUUGGGGGUGGAGGGCGGUGGAAUCCUGCCUGCCUAGCAUCCUUCGCUAACUCGCAGGUUGAGACCAGCAGGUGCCCAAGGGCCAUCCUCUGGGUGUAGAGGAUAUAGGCUCAUUUCAGAACCCUCACGCCUUGUUAGAGCUCUGUCACACGGGCCAGAAACAGGGAACUGGGGUGGAGACUCCUGCAGAACUACUACCCCACACAUUCUCUCCUCACCCUCGUCUGUGCGAGGGGCUGAUUGCACCUAAGGCGAGACGUGACAGGAUCCUCCGGAAUCUUGCUACCGGUGGAGACUUGGAAUUGGACUGGAGCCCAAUGACCAGUAGCAGAACCUGAGAACACGCGCAGGUGAAAGCUCAGAGCGCUCUCACGGCGACACCUGCUGGGUGCGGCAGGUGGUGCAUUCUGGCCUUUUGUCUUUCUGAUCAGAGACACGCAGCCCAAGUUUCAGUUGGAGAAACUGAGGAGGCCUGCUUAGCCUUCCAGACUGCAGUUCUUCAUGCAUACCUUCAUGUACAGCCGCUGUUCACGCAUGCGUCCACGGGCUACUGGCGCCAGCCAUGCUGACAACCGUGGAUUCAAGGAACACGGGAGACCUUGGUCUGGGUACAGCCUGGGGGGGGGGCGCUUUCAGAAUAUGGCCACUACAUUGUUCAACCAAUCUCCAUUGCAAGGAGUUCUCUGUGCGCGCCUUCCUUGCCUCUGGGCAAGCCUGUGAUAGCUUCCUCAUUGACAGGUGCAGAUGAUGGUAAAUGGAUACGUACAGGAGCCCUGUCCAGUAAGCACAUGCAUAGCUUCAGAUGGCACCGGCUGGUGAGAAGGUCACAGGACCGGGGACCGGGCAAUGGGAAAGAGGGUUCUGUGCACUAAAAUGUUUGUUUUAGCUCUGAGGAAGUGGCUGGGCUGUCCGCAGCAGAUCACAGGAUUUGGGCCCAUUAUGGUAGAAGCUAGGAGUGGGUGAAGGAGGAGCAAGGAUGAAGAGAAAGAAAGCCAGUGAUGUGGAGGGAAGAGAGGGGGACUGUAUUCCUAGAAGAGUUUGGAGUCCAAUGGAGACCCUGGAGAAUAAAGCAGGUAACUCA